CAAUAGGUCAGCUAAGAUUAAGCUGUUGGGCUCAUAACCCAAAAAUGGUCCAUCCUCUAUUGA
rnacentral:tRNA from 1 species